AUGCAGGCGAGGUCCGUGUCUGAGUCUCCUUCCAUGUCUCAUUUUGCUCGUCGUGUGGUGCUGCAGGUGUCUGAACCGGUGAGCGGGAAGGAGGUGAAACUGAGGCUGGUGCUGCACAGUGAAGCCACUGUUGCCAGGCAGCUGUCCAUCAGCGUCAGUGUUGUGGCCAUGGGGUACAACGGCAGAAAGGUUGGGGACAUCCAGCGGGAGCUGAAGGAGAAGACGCUGCUGGCUGGAAAAGAGCUGCUCUUCCCGAUCCGGGUCCCAUUCUCGGCCUACAGUAAACUCAUGGUGGAGAGCGACACCAUGAGGGUGUCGGCCGUGGUCACGGACAAAAAGAACCCGGAUCACACGUGCCUGGCAGAGGAUGACAUCGUGCUGAAGAAUCCUCCCAUCUCUGUCGAGGUCAGUGUCGAAACUUCUGUGUCUCUGUCGCCGAAAUCACCUGUCAUCUCUUUAGCUGUCAGUCAAAUAAGUGGAGAGCUUUGGGGUUUUUCUUCCCACACUCACCGGCUGACAUUUUCAUAUACCAACACAAAGUCACUGGUGAAAUAGAUCGGCCAUGUUAAAGUUUUUCAUUACCAGCGUUCGACAAAUCUUUUUGUCGGUUUUGCCUGCAAGCAUCACGCUGUCACCACGAUGGACUUUUUCUCCACUGUGGGAAUAUUAUAUAAGAGCUGCAUGUUCAGUCCUGUGAGAGCUAAAUCUGUGCGCUACUGCUGCAGGGACACACACACACACACACACACACACACACACACAAGGAAACAUUUGACUGCCAGAAAUUCCUGCCCUUCAGCUAGAAGAGUCCAUGUAGUUAAGGAUUAUGAGCACUUUUGUUUUUUUGUGUGUUGGUGUCAGAUUUAUUGUUGUUGGGGAAAAUGGGUCAUGGUUAAAAAAAAAAAGAAGAAGAAGCUGUCAUCAUGUUAUGAACUGAUUAGAGUUUGGGAGAAUGUAUUUUUAACAUUACUGACACACAUAUGGAGUACUAAAGUCUCACUCGCUCUCUCGAGACGGGUUGAGGUUUGGUUUCCCAACUGAGUGUAUUUGAAUAAUCUCCUAAAAUGUGUGUGUCUGUCUGUGUGUGUGUGUGUGUGUGUGUGUACAGGUGGACGCUGCAGGCAGACAGCACCAUAUGUUAUGCGGUGUGGUGGCGUUCGCGAACCCGGUCAAUGAGAUACUGACGGACUGCACGCUGACUCUCAGCGGAUGUGGCCUGUUUAGAGACGAGAUCACAGUCAAGUAAGUGUGUGUGUGUGUGUGUGUGUGUGCGCUUGUGCAGCUACCUUUGUGAGUUUGAGACCUUUGGAGGACAUUUUGGCCUGGUCGACACCGUCAGACAGGCCUUUUAAACUGAUUUGUUUGAACAAAAUAUAACAUGUGAGACUACUUUUGUUAUCACUUGUAAUCCUGAAACCCUUUAAAGUGAAACUCUCGCCAAAAAGCAACCUAGGCUUUAUUUGUGAUUGAACAUGAGUCAAACCUUCAUGUAAAAGCAUAAUUACGAAGAAAAAGGCAUUUUUUUAGAUUUACCGUAGUUUCGUUUUCGGACAAGCUAAUUUUCAGUGGGAGUGCUACGGGCACUUUCACGAUAGCAUCAAAAUCUCUACUUUUAAAACAGUAAGAAGUCUCGACACAACAUGAAACUUUGCUCGUAGUAUCACCAGGGUCUCUACACAUGAACACGAGCGUUGAGAACAUUGUUUGUGUACACAGAGUUUUUGAACAACUCACGUUAGCAGUAGCAACUCCGUCAUGGCAGACAAAAAGUGUCGAUCCCCAAGUGCGACCUUACAGGUAGGAGGUCCACCAUUACUCUCCUGCCUGUUAGGUCGCACUCGGGGAUCGACAUUUUUUGUCUUCCUUGACGGCGCCGCGCCGGAGAUCCAGCUGCAACGGUGAGUAGUUCAAGAACCUCCUUUUUAGUAAACUCUGUGUACACAAACAAUGUCCUCAAUGCUGGUGUUCAUGUGUAGAGACCCUGGUGAUACUACGAGCAAAGUUUCAUGUUGUGUCGAGACUUCUUAGUGUUUUAAAAAUAGAGAUUUUAAUGCUAGCGUCACAGUGCCCCUGCACCCCAUUGGAAAUUAGCUUGCCCGAAAACGAAACUACGGUAAAUCUUAAAAGUGCCUCUUUCAUUGUAAUUACACUCUUACACGAAGGUUUGACUCAUAUUCAAUCACAAAUAAAGCCUUGGUUGCUUUUUGGCGAGAGUUUCACUUUAAAGUAGCUCAAUUAUGAACUAAUUCAGGGACGGUACAAACCCAGAUCCCAGCUGGGAUAUUUGCAUGUUUGACUGGAGAAGAGUUUCUUACCAUUCUUUGUGUGUCUCCUGCAGGGUGAACGAUAUCAAGCCAAAGACAACAGUGAGAGUCAAAUUCGGCUUCUAUCCCUACAAGACGGGAAAGAAGACGCUGUAUGUCGACUUCGACUGCUCCCUGUUCAGAGACAUCAAGAAAGAAUGCACCGUCGUAGUGGCAAAGAACUGAAACGCUGAGAUUAGUUUGGGAUAUUGGGACGGGGGUGGAUAAAUGCCACGUGCGUGGAUGUGAAAUAGAAGUUGAAUUAAAUGUGUCAUAUUAUUUUGGGGGGCCCAGAAAUAAACACUCAGAUAUAAAUUUCACAGAAUAAACAAUCAAGUGCAGCACUGACAUAUUGCACUAUCUUGUAUGCUAACAUAGAAACAAGGGGUCAGAACUCUUUAUGAAACAUGCAUUAUGUAAAGACUUCAAGCUGUUUGUGCAUAUAUUUAUAUAAGUAGUCUUUCGUACCUUCCUGUCUGUUACUACUUCUGCAUCUGCAGUUUUAACAAAUGUUACUUGAAUAUGAAGAAAUAGCUUUUUGUUGGGGACUAUUUUUAGCAGUGGAUUAUUACACAUUUGAGGACAAAGUAGGUGUGAUUGAAUCAAAAUAAACUGCAGUGUGUGUUGGUGCUAAUAAAGAGGCAUGUCACUCAGAAAAACAACAGUGUGGCUCAUUG
ensembl:lncRNA